rnacentral:lncRNA from 1 species
AUGAGGACAGAGAUUCAAACACUACAGCAACAGUUCCAAACGCGGUCCCUGGACCAGCACAGCAGCAGCACCCGGACGCAUGUUAGAAAUGAGCAUUCAGAGGCCUGCCCCAGACCUGCUGAAGCGGACACUCGGGGGCUGGGCCCCAUAGGCUUGUUUGAACAAGACUCUCCAGAAGAUCCCGAUGCCCCCUGGAGUCUGAGAACUCUAGAACACAGAGAAGGCUUACAUGUUGUGAUGCUGUAUCUCAUGUUGCCUAUGUCUGCACCAGCCUCAAGAUUCAUCUUUAAAGUAAAAUUUCCGAGGGCAGUCUGUGUUGAAGAAGAUUCAGCCCUGUCCUCCUCCACUGGGGAACCACAUGCACUCUUUUCCAACUUGGUCCAGUCUCCUCAUCUCCUGACUCCAGACCUUGAGGAACCCUCCACAUGGAAAGUCAUCCCAGUUGGAGGAGGCAGGAAAGCCCAGCUCGUGGCAAAAGCCAGGCUCCAGGCUCCGGGCUCCGGGCUCCAGGCUCCAGGUCCAGGCUCCAGGCUCCAGGCUCCGGGCUCCAGGCUCCAGGUCCAGGCUCCAGGAUCCAGGCUCCAGGAUCCAGGCUCCAGACCUGCUGUUGUUCUGCCCCGCCCAGCACGGAGCAGAUGCCAGAUCUUCUCCAAGGCCAGAGGGGGCCGUGGGGCAGGGGUGAGAGGGCAGGAAGCAGUGAUCAGAGUAGGUAUGUGGAGAGGGGCCCUGGGGAGCCCUGCAUACAGCCCAGCCACUCUGAUGGCUCUGGGGGGUCUCUGGCACUGCAGACACCCAACUGCCUUGUGUCACGGGGUUGUGUGCAGUGGCUGGUCUCAUCUCCCUCCCCGGUCCUCCUGGGCUGGGGCCAAGGGGCUCCCCAGCAGCCAUAGGGGUGGUGCAGCUCUGCUCCCUGAGAUACCCCUCUCCCAUGGGCAGUGGUCUCAUCUUGCCACCUGCUGCCCAGGUCCCACUCCAGACAGGUCCAAAUCAGAGCCAUGA